UAACUUAGUGGCGAACGGGUGAGUAACGCGUGAGUAACCUGCCCUGGAGUGGGGGACAACAGUUGGAAACGACUGCUAAUACCGCAUAAGCCCACGAUCCGGCAUCGGAUUGAGGGAAAAGGAUUUAUUCGCUUCAGGAUGGACUCGCGUCCAAUUAGCUAGUUGGUGAGGUAACGGCCCACCAAGGCGACGAUUGGUAGCCGGACUGAGAGGUUGAACGGCCACAUUGGGACUGAGACACGGCCCAGACUCCUACGGGAGGCAGCAGUGGGGGAUAUUGCACAAUGGGGGAAACCCUGAUGCAGCGACGCCGCGUGGAGGAAGAAGGUUUUCGGAUUGUAAACUCCUGUCGUUAGGGACGAUAAUGACGGUACCUAACAAGAAAGCACCGGCUAACUACGUGCCAGCAGCCGCGGUAAAACGUAGGGUGCAAGCGUUGUCCGGAAUUACUGGGUGUAAAGGGAGCGCAGGCGGACCGGCAAGUUGGAAGUGAAAUCCAUGGGCUCAACCCGUGAAUUGCUUUCAAAACUGCUGGCCUUGAGUAGUGCAGAGGUAGGUGGAAUUCCCGGUGUAGCGGUGGAAUGCGUAGAUAUCGGGAGGAACACCAGUGGCGAAGGCGACCUACUGGGCACCAACUGACGCUGAGGCUCGAAAGCAUGGGUAGCAAACAGGAUUAGAUACCCUGGUAGUCCAUGCCGUAAACGAUGAUUACUAGGUGUUGGAGGAUUGACCCCUUCAGUGCCGUAGUUAACACAAUAAGUAAUCCACCUGGGGAGUACGACCGCAAGGUUGAAACUCAAAGGAAUUGACGGGGGCCCGCACAAGCAGUGGAGUAUGUGGUUUAAUUCGAAGCAACGCGAAGAACCUUACCAGGUCUUGACAUCCGAUGCAUAGUGCAGAGAUGCAUGAAGUCCUUCGGGACAUCGAGACAGGUGGUGCAUGGUUGUCGUCAGCUCGUGUCGUGAGAUGUUGGGUUAAGUCCCGCAACGAGCGCAACCCUUAUUGCCAGUUACUACGCAAGAGGACUCUGGCGAGACUGCCGUUGACAAAACGGAGGAAGGUGGGGAUGACGUCAAAUCAUCAUGCCCUUUAUGACCUGGGCUACACACGUACUACAAUGGCGUUUAACAAAGAGAAGCAAGACCGCGAGGUGGAGCAAAACUCAAAAACAACGUCUCAGUUCAGAUUGCAGGCUGCAACUCGCCUGCAUGAAGUCGGAAUUGCUAGUAAUCGCGGAUCAGCAUGCCGCGGUGAAUACGUUCCCGGGCCUUGCACUCACCGCCCGUCA
rnacentral:rRNA from 1 species